AUUUUUCUUUUGCUUUCCGUUGCGUUCUCACAUCUUUCUCACAGUUCUCUCUUUUGCUGUUCUCGGGCUUACUAAAUCUCGCAUUCGAUUCCAACAAGUGCGAUCAAUCUUGCCCCUCAAUUCGCUUCAUAAUCCUUCUUUUUCCACGUCUCUGCGCCCAUUCGCCUGAACGAAAACCCGGAUACAUUGCUUCCUCUUAAAUCAAACCCUAAUUUUGUCCCCAAACGAAUUGGAACACAGUCAAACUCGAUUUCUAAAUCGAGUUGCGCCGAUUCUAGGGAUCUAAUCUGGCGUUUCCAGGUUCCUUCAAAAUUUAUUAGUAUUUUUGUACGAAAUCUGCUCUUUUCAGCCAGCGGGCAUUGUUGUUCCAUGUUAAGCACCAAAGGAACGCAAUUGAAUUGUCUUCCAUUUUAAAGGUAUUAUAAAAAAUGUAUUAUCAAAGAUGUCCCAUCCUUGAGCGGAUACAAUGUUGGUUAUCAAAGAUGUCCCCUCCGAUUCAUGAAUCCCCAUAUGGAAGAGGACUUGGGCUGAUGCCCCAUCUAGCAUUAGCGAGGACCUCCUCAUAACCUCAGUGAAUAGGCAAGCUCAAUUCGGGCCAAAUUCUGUCAAAUUAGGCAGUAAUUAGCCAUUCGCUCCCAACCCUCCCUCCCGUGUGUUAUAGCAGUUUCAGAUCAAAGCUCCAUCCUCCUUGCUUCAUUUGUAAUACACACAGAGAAGGGCAGCAAAUGCUUUUAUACUUCUGCCAGAUUCUGUCCGUUGGGUGAUGAGUCCAUCAGGAUCGGUCGUAACUUUCCCUAAUGGAAUGGGCUUACCAGUUAUAUUUGACUCGAAGCCUUGCAGGUGGUACAAUAGUUCUAUCCGAUGAUGGUCGCUAUUUUUCAAAGGAUGCUGUGUAAUUUCAAGUUUGAAAACUGCUGGCUUUCAAUCUUUUUAAACAAGUUACCUUUGUAAGGUAUCAAAACUCUGAUUUUUCUAUAGCAAAUAAAAUUCCUUCCUUCACUAUGGUAAUUUUGUUUAGAUUAAUUAAUGUUACACUGAUGCUAACUCAAGUUUAUACACUGCUAGAAAGUCAAUUUGUACUCCUGCAGCAACACAUCGGGCAUUACUAGCUAGUAUAUAUACUAAAAGAGAAAAAAAGCCUAAAACACUGUUCAUAAGCACAGUGUUCUUCCGUUUUUGCCCUUCUUGAUUUUCUGUUAUUUCAUGUAUGCCCCUGAUAUCCACGUUUCCUCUGCAUCUAUGAGAUGUCGACGCGUUGCAUGGUUUCAGAAGUUCUCGAGCCUUCCUUUUUUGAUUUUGAUUUCGAUCUCUGCCUCACAAAAGAUCUUCGUGCUCUGAUGGCUCUCCGAUCUCCAGUUUUAUGCUUCUCUCUCUCUCUCUCUCUCUCUAUCUCUUUCUCCCUUUCUUGCUAAAAACCAUGAUUAGCAACCUGAGGUGAGAAACUCAGUUUUCUCUUCAUUCCUGCUCGACUUGAUUCAAACAAAAAAUCUCUUGCACGAAAUCAAUUUUCUCCUCAUCACGGAUUUCGACUGCAUGCACACCUAUCAAGCCCUAGAAUCCAACCAAACUCACUCCCUUCAAGCCCGUUUCUGCUCUUCCACUCGCUGCCCAGAAAAUCAAGUUCUCAAGGUUCGAUGUUUCAUCAAUUUCCUCCCCCUCAAAAAUUAUUUUGGUCUUUCGUGCAUACUGAUGUUUUUAUUUCUAUUAAAUUUGGUUGUGUGAUUAGUGAUUUUUGUUCUUAAUUUUACUAAAAAUUUUGAGUUUUUCUUUCUGUUGUUUCUAUGGUUUUUUGUUCUGCAUAUUUCAAUUACUCUCUCUUGCAGCGGAACCACCACGACCACUAGGGGCCACUGCCGCGUUAAAUUAUGGGCUUCAAUCGUUGUCUAAAACGUUCUGUACUCAUGGCAAGUUAUUCUAGGUUUUAUUCCAUAUUCAGAUCAUCCCCAAUUUCGAAAGUUUAGGGAAUUGGUUCAUUUCCGUGUUGCAUGUUUAACAUUCUUCUGUGUGAUGCUGAGUUGAGGCUAUACGAACUGGAAUCGUUGAGGGUAGGCUUGAAUUUGGCCGAAUUUGGAACCAGAAAGACCUUGGACAGAUCCCACCAGAGCACUCUGUUACCCCUUUGUUACAUGAUUUCGUAUAUCCGCUAUAUGCUAUCUCCCGAAUGCUUAUCCACCUACUGCCUAUUACCAUGGAGGCUUACAAUGUUUGAUUAAUUUCUAUGGGCGAUAUCCUCAUAUAAAAAAGAAGUGGAAGCUUUACAGGACAUUAACCAAUCAGUUGAGAUAUUAGUUCGUUUACUUUCUGCCGUCUCUGGUUGGAGUGAGAAAAUGUUUAGGUUCAGCAACAGGUUGCUGAAAUUAUCACUUAUAUAGCCUCCACUGCAAAAUAGUAGUACUUUUGGUUUGCUUACUGUGUCUCCUUCACUGUUUCUAUUUUGUGGAUGUACAAAUAGAUGUCAACCCUAGCAUUUAAUGGUGUUGUUCACUUUGAUAGGUAUAUGUGAACGGCUCGCAGAUAUCAGACCCUUAAAAAUGCCAUGAAGUGCCUUACGGCUUUCUCCUAAUCCGUAGGUCCAUGAUUUAUUUUUGAAAGUGGAAGUUCUGGUGUGAUAUUUUUAUUUCUCAUCAUCUUCAGUGCAAAAGUUUGUGUGCAAGUUUUUUUUUGUAGUUUUAUCCUGAGUAAAGGUUGCUAAUCUUUUAUUGAUGAGUGUGUGCUAUUUGGUCUCCAAUGAUUGUUUAUAUUUACCAAGGGUAUAAUGAGAGGAAAAUCCCAUUCCAAUAACUUGGAAUGAACCUCUACCAAAUUGUAGGGAAUCCAAUUAAGAUGCUUAAGUCUCUGGGUGGAACUCCCACACCUGGGACUUGCAGCCAUGUUUCCCUUAAGCAAUAGGGACGGGAUGCACGAGAUGCAGCAGUUGGAAACAUGGCUGCAAGUCUCAGGUGUGGGAGUUCCACCCAGAGACUGGAACACCAGAAGAGGUUCAGCAAAUUGAAGAUGCCCACAAGGAUUUCUGAAACAACCGUUUCGAAAGAUCAUUGCACUUUCAACUACUGGAUGUCUGAAUGCUGUGUUAUGGUGCAUAUAUCUCUUAUAAUCAUUAGAAUGAAGAUGGGGAUGGCGUCUGCAUAUUGAGGGGCCAAAUAGCAUGAUUGUGGACUGUUUUGGUUCUUUAUUGAACAUUAGGAUGUAAAUAAAUUUUGACAUGGAUUGCACAUUUAACAUAGUUUUAAAACCCGCAGCAUCGCGCGGGUUCAAUUUCUAGUAAUAUCAAAACCCCAAGGUGUAAAACCUAUUUCACUUAGUUCUCUGUUCUCACCCAUUCCGGCCGUCUUCAGCUCCUCUUUGCUUACUCUCUCACCCCAACUCCAACGACCAACCACUGGUGGUUGCCAGCGACAGCGACAACCACUCUCCUUCGUCUUCCUUUCUUGGCCACUCUCCUCUCUCUAACAUAACGGGACCCAAAUUAGGGAAAGAGAGAUUCGGUUUUCUAUCGAGUUCUUCAGGCGACAACAAGGUUCUUGCCUCCAGCAGCCCUCUGCCCGCACAUCCGCACUCAGUAGCCUCUAAUUUGGGAUGAAAACAUACAUAAUUGUUUUAGUUACCACUUCAUACUCUGCAGUCAACCAUGAUCGGUGUUAUUGAAAUCUACUCCCUCAUUGGGUCCGCCAUGGCCGGAAAAACUUCCGACUGGGUCGGCCGCCGCUACACCAUAGUCAUCUCCGGAGCGAUUUUCUUCAUCGGAGCGAUUCUCAUGGGGUUCUCCGCCAACUACACCUUCCUCAUGUGCGGCCGCUUUGUCGCCGGCAUCGGAGUCGGCUACGCCCUCACGAUUGCUCCCGUCUACAGCGCCGAGGUCUCUCCGACGUCGUCUCGCGGCUUCCUCACGUCUUUCCCAGAGGUUAAUCAUGGUAUUUCCAUGUGCUGUUACAAAUAUAUACCGGUAAAGUGGUUUAAUAACUUAAAUAGGUGUUAAUAUGUAUACCUUUUGGUCAAGUGUACUGUAGAAGGGAUAUAUCUUGUGUAUCAACACUUUUUUCUUGCUAUAAUGUUUUCUGUAAGUUAUGCACUUGAACAACAUUUGGGUUACCUAACCGUUUUGUUCGAGUGAAACACUUCUUGAUAUGUCUACUGGAAUGGAUUACAAAAUGAAAAGUGGUGAUGCAGCUGGAGCUUUAAAGAUUGAACCUAUUCAAAGGGCUAGUUUCUUCUACGUUGCCUAUUAUUGAUGCUACAGAUUUUGUAGCAGACAACUCCUAUUCAAUAUUUUUAGUUAUGAUAUUAUCUUGUGCAAGCUACAAUUGGGAUAUAUUGUAGGUUACUGUGGACAUGUUACUGUAAAAACUACCCAUAUUUGAAUUAUAAGAAUUUUUUUUCAUUGAGUU